GGUAAUAAACAAAAAUUCACGGAAGCCAUAACCUGUCUGUGACUUUUGCUGCUGCGACUCCAUGGUUUCCCCCGCCGCCAUGGUGGCUGGGAGCUGUGGGGUUCCCCCUCUGCCUGCCGCA